rnacentral:lncRNA from 1 species
CUGCUAUAUAUGUUGUCAGUUGAUAUCUGCAAAUAACUAGAUUAAAAUCUCUCAUUGUUUAGGUGUUUUGUUCCAAGAGAACUUGGAUCAGUGAUCAGUCAUCAAAGUUGAACCGGGUGAUAUGACAGGAAAAGAAAGAUUAUUUUCUACGAAGCAGAAUCAUUUACAGUUGCUGUCUUGAAUCUUGUAAUUUGUAAAGAAGGUUAGUUUAUAAAACGCCUUCCAGGCUUUACCAGAUUUAUUUGGAUGCUGGAAAAUCACAAAAAUUCUGUCCACAGCUGAUAUUUCUUGACAGGAUCUUAGCCAGGAUUUGCAACUUGGGUGUCCAAAUUUGAAAUUUCAUUUAUGGCACCCAAUUUUUUCCAUAUGGUACCAUGGCACCACUUCAUGCACCAGUAAUUCAGCAAUGUGAUUAUUCUUGAAUUCUGGGAGUAAUCGGUGACCACACUUGAGAAUCACCCAAAAAACUAAUAAUAUAUUCAAUUAUUCAGAUUAUGUCACUACUCACUAGUCCCUACACUGACUACAGUAGUACAGUUUAAGUAAAUCUGUGAAUAUAUUAAUUUUAUUAAUAUUAUGUUGUCACUUUCAUGCUAUAAAUACAGUACUUGUAGCUUUGAUAAGCUAGUGUAAGCAAAGAACACAACCAAAAAACAACAAAAAGCAACUGAUUAUCUCGUAUAGUUACAUUAUGCGGUUUUUAAUUUGGCAGCUAGGAAUCUUUCCGCUGCAGCUUGCAAGUGAGCAAUGUUUCUUUUCUAUGGUAUUUUAUUCUCAGCAGCUUGUCUAACCGAUCUAUGGUCAGUUGUGUUUUUAUGCGAUUCUGAAUGCUAAACACCCUUUCUGCUUCUGCAUUUCCAACCAUUACACACAUUCAAGCAAGUUGCCAUAGUUGAAAACUAGGCGAGUCGAUGGCCUUUUUUAGCUAGCCGUCCAAAAGGCGUCGCCAUGAUAGCGAACCGUCCAAAAGCCGUCUUCUUUAGAAGGCCGUUCAAAUUUGAAAAUGGCUGUCCAAAGACGGCUGGACGGUAGGCUGGCUAAGACCCUGUUUCUUGACAAAAUACCAUCAAACAAUAAUAUGAACAAAGGCGACUGAAAUUAUUCAAUUUGACUGAGCAAGAAAGACACACUCAAAAAAGUACCAAAGCCAAGCAAAGUAUGAAGAAACAAAAAUUUAAAAGGCUUGAAAAAAUCCUAUCCAUGGGUAAUGCUCGUGAACGAAAAGAUGUUUUGCAAAUGUGAGGUAGUAGAUUUUCUCGAUGGAUAUCAGAUUUUAAGUUGCUAUAGUAUCCUGUUGGAUACUGCUGAAAAAUUCAAAUUUGAAGUCCUGCUGAAUAAUAUGUUUUAUCCCUUGGGGGAAUUAAUCCAAUCUAAGCCAAUAAACGCAGAAGCCCUGUGUCCGUGAACAUUUUUUAUCAGUCGCACGUAAUUGUUUUGAUGAUAGAAAUGAUUAUAGACAAUGUUCAGAAAGUUUGGAUUAAUAAUUCCUGGCUUUUUUUAAUUUAAAAAAAUUCCUGUGGUCUCCCUUUGCUGAGCACAGGUUGCCACUUGCCUGUGGUUGCCCCUUUGCAAAAUGUUUUAAAACAUGUUUUUAUCACUUGAAAGUGAUUGUUGAAAUCUGUUUCAAUGUUAAACAUUAACAGAUUUUCAUAACAGGCUAAAAAACAGCAAAAAAGUGGGGCUAUAGCCUUCUUUUCGUCCAUUUUGACAAUUUUUUCUGCCAGAUAAUGCGAUGAAGUAUGGUUUUUGAACCAAACUAUAGUUUGACCUUUUUUAAUCUUGAAAUUGAUGGAAAUGUGAAAGAAAUUGAAUUAAUAAUCUGAGUAUCGAAGUUCAAUAGAGUCAUUUUUAUAAAGAAAUGUUGCAAUUAGGAGGAUAUUUAUAAUUAGAUAGCUCGUAUCCAUUGAUAUUUGUUUGCAAUUCCUCAAUAUUUUUCGAUGCAAAUGGACAGAAGAUAUUGAUAUUGAAUUCACCACAGGAUACUCAAGUACGCCUGAAAAUGAAAGUCUAAAAAAUGUUUUAACACCCUCUAGGGUGAUUGAACUUCGCUAUAUAUGAUGCCAUAUUGGUUGCAUUAACUUGCAAAGGCUUCCUUUAUUUAGCUCUUCCCAUCACUCCUUGCACGCUCACUUACGCUCACGUCAAGUAAGCCUCUGUGGAGGAGAGAGUGGGAAAAACGACAAAAAAAUAAGGCUAUUAUAGCCUUUACUUUUCAUCGAUUUUUUCAUUAAGGCCUGUGAUCCCCCCUUUGCAUUUGACUCAAAGUUUGGAAUGGCUUGGGGCAGUUUUGGGAAAAUUUCUAGUUGUCUCCCGGGCCCUUUGUUGAUCCUGGGGUUGCCUGUGUUCCCCUCCUUGCAUUUGACCCAAAUUUUUCGAAACAUGUUUUUAUGAGUCGGAAGUGAUCGUUUUGAUUAGAGAAAUGUUUCUCAACAAUUUUCAGAAAGUUUGGUGUGAGUUGGGCCUCUUGAAUUUUUCCUGUGAUCGCCAUUUGUUGACCGUAGGGUUGCCUAUGACCCCCCCCUUUGCAUUUGACCCAAAGUUUUUGAAACAAGUUUUUCUAAGUCGAAGGUGAUCGUUUUGAUGAGAGAAAGAAAGUUUUGUGAGUUGGGGGAUCUUUAUGAAUUUUUAAAAAAUUUCCUGUAGUACUCUCAUUUUUAACCCAUAGAAUCUCAUUGUGCCCAGAUGCUCUCUGCUUUACUCUGUCUAACGCCAGAAGAUUUUACUCGUCAAGGGGAGAGCGCUGGCGCUAAACGGUUAACUGGCCUAUCUGCCCAUGGGUGUAUAUAACCAUUGAAUCGCAUAGAAUAGAAGAAUAAUUUAUUUAAUGUUGAAUGACACAGAGUGUGGUUGCCCAAUCACUCGAGCCAGGGGCUCAUGAUAGAAGUACUCGAUGCGCCCGAUUGUGCCCAGAUGCGCCCUGCUUUGUUAUUUUACUCUGUCUAACGCCAGACGAUUUUACUCAUCAAGGGGAGAGUGCUGGCGCUUAAUGGGUUAAACACAAAAGUGUGAAUUUUCUUUGGUUGCCUAUGAUCCCCCCUUUGCAUUUGACCCAAAGUUUUUGAAACAAGUUUUUCUAAGUCGAAGGUGAUUGUUUUGAUGAGAGAAAGAAAGUUUUGUGAGUUGGGGGAUCUUUAGGAAUUUUUAAAAAAAUUCCUGUGGUACUCCCAUUUUUAAAAACAAAAAUAUGAAUUUUUCUGUUGCAUCCUUCGUCUGGUAUCAGUUAGAUAAGAUAUGUUGUCAGUUGAUAUGUGCAAAUAACUAGAUUAAUAUCUUUCAUUGUUUAGAUAUUUUGUUCCAAGAGAAUUUGGAUCAGUGAGCAGUCCUCAAUGUUGAACCGGAUUACUUGACAGGAAAAGAAAGAUUAUUUUAUACCAAACAGAAUCAUCUACAGUCGCUGUCUUGAAUCAUUUAAAUAAGGUUAGUUUAUAAAACGCCUUCCAGGCAAUGUGGCAUGAAAAUUUUAAAUUCUGAAUAUGUUAUCCCUUGGGGAAUUCAUCCAAUCUAAGCCAAUAAAUGCAAAGCCCUAUGUCAGUGAGCAUUUUUUAUCAGUUGAAAGUAAUUGUUUGGAUGAGAGAAAUAAAUGCUUAUCGACAAUUUUCAGAAAGUUUGGAAUAAUAGUUCCGGGCCUUUUUUAUUUAAAAAAUUCCUGUGCUCUCCCUUUGUUGAGCACAGAUUGCCACUUGCCUGUGGUUGCCCGCUUUGCAAAAUGUUUUAAAACGUGUUUUUAUCAAUUGAAAGUGAUUGUUUUGAUGAGAAAAUGUGUCUCAAUGUUUACUUUUUGUCCAUUUUGACGUAAAGCAACAAAAAACAACAAAAAAGCAAGGCUAUUUUGAUUGACAAUUUUUCAUCGCUAGCUUUUGAAAAAAAAAGAAAGAAAUUAAAGAAAUCACUUCAACAGAAGAACAAAGUGAUUUAAAACGAAAAACUAAAAAAAAAAAAGAAAUUGAAGAAAUCACUUCAACGGAAGAACGAACUUUAAAACGAACAACUACAGUGCUUGAAACAGAUAAGACGACUUUUUCAUAACUGGGCAGAAAACAGCAAAUAAGUAAGGUUAUUUAUUGCCUUACGUUUUCGUCGAUUUUAACGACUUUUUUUCGUAAAGGGACAAAAACAGCAAAAAAGCAAUUAAAAAGGACAAACAACAGCAAAAAGCAAUUUUUACGACAUUUUUCAUUUUCCGUAAAGAGACAAAAAGGAGAAAAAAGGUAAGGCUAUACCCUUUACUUUUCGUCCAUUUUUGGCGACUUUUUUCAUUUUUCAUAAGUGGGCAAAAAACAGCAAAAAAGCAAGGCUAUAUUUCCAUUUUUCAUAAGUGGCCAAAAAACAGGAAAAAAACAGCAAAAAAGUAAGAAACAUGAAAAACGGCAAAAAAGUAAGGCUAUAUUUCCAUUUUGAAAAACAUGGACCUGAAAAACAUUUCAAACGUGAAAAACGGCAAAAAAGUAAGGCUAUAUUUCCAUUUUUCACAAGUGGUCGAAAAACAGCAAAAAAGUAAGGCU